GGCUCAAUGGUCUAGUAGUAUGAUACUCGCUUCGGGUGCAAGCCCAUUACGUGCUUCGUCAUGUAAUCAGAUGUGAGUGGUCUCGGGUUCAAUUCCCGAUUGAGCCC